rnacentral:rRNA from 1 species
CCUACGGGGGACAGCAGUGGGGAAUAUUGCGCAAUGGGCGAAAGCCUGACGCAGCGACGCCGCGGGAGGGAUGAAGGUCUUCGGAUCGUAAAGCUCUGUCAGCAGGGAAGAACGGUCACUGGGCUAAGCAGCAGUGAAUUGACGGUACCUGCACAGGAAGCACCGGCUAACUCCGUGCCAGCAGCCGCGGUAAUACGGAGGGUGCGAGCGUUAAUCGGAAUUACUGGGCUGAAAGCGCUCGUAGGCGGUAUGUCAAGUCAAGGGUGAAAUCCCCGCGCUCAUCGUGGUAACUGCCUUUGAAACUGGCAAACUGGAGUGUGUGAGAGGAUAGUGGAAUUCCAGGUGU